UCGCUUGGUUAAGGUUCAUGUCUCUGAGCCUGAUGACCUGAAUUCCGUCGCUGGGCUUCCGUGGUGGAAGGAGAGAACCUCCCCUAAGUUGUCCUUUGGAUUCCAUGCGCAUACACAUUUAAAGUCAAUCCAUCGGCGUACUGGGAUCUUGAUCAACAGUAAAAGCCACAUUGCUGAGAGGAAAUCCGACCAGACAGCAAACAAGGAUGGCUCCUGAAAGAAAAGGAUCUUAGUAGGAGGGCAAUAGACACCUGCUUGUCACCACACCUUGAAGUACAGCAUGGAUGGAGGAUGCUACCCAGGGGCCUGUAAUCCAGGCGUCCAGUCUGCAGUGGGAGCGACCGCAAUGUUCGGGUUGGUUUCCACUUGAAGAUACAUGUUCAAGACCCUCAAGUUAGCAGAACCCCCUGAAAGAUGCGAAAUCUCCAGGGCUGUGGAUGUGUUGAACAUAAGCGGCUGUUUCCCUUCCUGACAGCUCUCAUCCAUCAUCUUAACCUUUCACAUCACUUCCUGAAGCCAUUUCAUCCUCCGUCGAAAAUGCCAACCUAAAAAUAAGUAAUCAUGCUGAAAAAGAUCCAGAUGGAAACAGAAAAGCACGUGCACACUCAUUCACUCUGAAGACCCUUGUCUAUAUUUGUCAUCCGACCUACCUUGUUUCUCUUCUCUUCUGCCUCAACAGAGAUGGGUUCAGGGGACGGCCAGAAUUGUUCUGACCCACGGAAACAAAAUUCAUUUUUCAAGGCUUCUGGUUCCAGGUGGUAAUCAUUUCUUAUGGACCUUUAGAAGUUCGAGAAUAUAUUGAAAAUGGAUGUGAGUAAUUUACAUGUCUGAUUUAAUUUGAGCUGAGAUUUCAGCUAAUUAUGUGUAUUCUUAAGAAGCAAACUUUUUGUUUCAAGCUAGUAAGCGAAGGCUGCAUUGAGUUCAUAACUUGGCAAAUUCCCUAAUUCUUUGGCUCUAAGAACGUAGAAGACUUUCUAAGACAGGGCUGCAGCUUCUUAGACACAGAAAACCAGGUCAUAAAAAUUAUGAGCACAAUAUGAACGCUGUAAAUUAUAAGCAGAGUGAGAAAUGCAAAUUCCAGACUAUCCCAGAUCUGUAAUAAAUUGAUAUUUUUAAAAUUCUCUUUUUAGAAGAGAGAACAACACGCACGUAUACACACGCACAUUUCUAUUAGUGGGGACUUUGUGCUUGUUGCCACGGAAUCUUUGAUGUCAGUACACAUUCCUCUCAGACACCCACGUCUUUCUUAUCUAUAGUCCUGUCUAAGGGCAACUGGCGUCCAGAAUGAGAAAUGUGAGACACCACAAGAUGUUGAAUCACUAAAGGAAAAAAAUAACUUACAUUUUAUACUAAGGAAGGCCAUUUUUCUGUGUCAUAUUAGAACAUUUAUCAGAAUAAAGAAUUGAGAUAAAAGGCA